rnacentral:lncRNA from 1 species
UUGUUGUUGAGCCUUGGGCGGACAGGGGAGGCUCUGUCCGUUUGGCGUCUGUUCGACGCUCUCGAACCGGCCAAAAGGAUCAGGCUCGGGGCGUGACACUGGGACUACGAAACCUUCGCCAUCUAAUGGGGGCCAUUAGUUUGAGAGAGAUAGAGGGAGAUACCAUAGUGCGCAGGAGAAGGUAAGGGAGAAAAUUGAUGUUGAUAGAGAAGAGCAAAAAAAAAAAAAAAAAAAAAAAAAAAAAAAAAAAAAAAAAAAAAGAAAAGAGAAGCGAGAUGAGAUAGGGAAGGGGCGGUAUGGAGAUGGAGAGGCGACGGUUGUAAUUGUAUUGAGACCGUGGAUGCAUUAAUUAGGAUGGUGGAGAGAAGGCGAAGAGUCGUGUACAUUUUUAAAAGUGUGAACUGUUUUCUCAAAUUAGCUAUGUAUGACAUGUCAUUUAAGUAUUGAGCUUUAAUGAAAAGACAAAGUAACAAAGGUUAAAUCAUCUCCCUAAAAUAAGGAGAGUAUGCCAAAUUAGUUUAAAUAUUGAGCUUUCAUAUAGUUUAAUAGAUAAUAGAUAAAUUAAUAGAUGGGUCUCACAUAUUAAGAUAAAACGACACGUGGAAGAAGGUAGGGAGAUUUAAUUAUAAUUAUAAUAAUUAUAAUUAUUAUAAUAAUAAUAUAAUAAUUAUAGUUAUAUUUAUUAUAAUAUAAUAAUUAUAAUAAUUAAUUAAUAAUUAAUAAUAUAGAAUAUAGAUUAAUAAAAUAAUAAAUAAUAGAUAAGAAGGAACAGAUUAAUAUAGAUUAAUAGAUAAUAGAUAAUAGAUAUUAGAUUAAUACAUUAAUCAAUAAUAGAUAAUAGAUAAUAAAUAAUUGAUUUAAUAGAUAGAUUGGUUUAAUUAUUAUUAUUUUU